AGUGAACGCUGGCGGUAGGCCUAACACAUGCAAGUCGAACGGCAGCACAGUAAGAGCUUGCUCUUACGGGUGGCGAGUGGCGGACGGGUGAGGAAUACAUCGGAAUCUACUUUUUCGUGGGGGAUAACGUAGGGAAACUUACGCUAAUACCGCAUACGACCUACGGGUGAAAGCAGGGGAUCUUAGGACCUUGCGCGAUUGAAUGAGCCGAUGUCGGAUUAGCUAGUUGGCGGGGUAAAGGCCCACCAAGGCGACGAUCCGGAGCUGGUCUGAGAGGAUGAUCAGCCACACUGGAACUGAGACACGGUCCAGACUCCUACGGGAGGCAGCAGUGGGGAAUAUUGGACAAUGGGCGCAAGCCUGAUCCAGACAUACCGCGUGGGUGAAGAAGGCCUUCGGGUUGUAAAGCCCUUUUGUUGGGAAAGAAAAGCAGCAGGUUAAUACCCCGCUGUUCUGACGGUACCCAAAGAAUAAGCACCGGCUAACUUCGUG
rnacentral:rRNA from 1 species